GAGGAUGGUGAAUAGUACGUGCUCGACCCACUCAUUGCUUCGGAGGAUGACUCGUCCGAUUCGGACUAGCAUUAGAGGUCGCAGUGCAAAUAUUUAUAAAAAAAGAAAGAUAGCGUCUCUCCACUCACUCUCCAGCUCGCCAACAUCUUCCGUCGUCACGUCGCGCGUGUAGAACAAACGCCUCCUUUGCCUCCUCGUAUUGCUCGUACAACCUCCUCACUCCCCCUCUCCUCCUUCAUCUCCUCCAGCGUCCCCGACGCGCGUCGCAUCCUGUCGAUCGCCUCCUUCCUCUUUGGCGGGGUCCGCCGAGGUCGAUGAUCGGGAAUCGGAGAUUCUCGGAUCCGCCGCUCGAUUCGGAGCUGCCUGCCUUCGGAUGACGAAAUUCUAGGGAUUUCGGUGAUCGCGGCGUCGACGAGGCCUUUGACGCCGGCUUUCGAGUCGUCGCCCGCUCUGUCGUAGCUUUCUGCUCGCCUGAGUCGGAGGCCAAAUCGAUGGUAGGCAUUGUUCCUCUCUCUCCCUCUCUCUACUGCAAUUCAAUUUUCACUGUGAAUGUGUAAUAAGUUUGGAUUAUGAAUCGAAUGUUAUGGAGACAUUUGGAUUAUGACUUGAGUGUUAUGGAGACAUUACAAUGUCAAUGCAUGAUAUGAGCAUUUUCUUUAUA